GCUUCCGAAGAAGUUGCUAACCCCGCUGACCUGCAAGACGCUGAAACCGACGUCAUCUACGAGCUGAUUGCCGGGCCGGUCCAGGAGCCUUUCGCAGGAGAACCGCAGCCAGAAGAAGUCGUUAAUCAAGCUCCCGGAGAAACCACUAACCCCGCUGACCUGCAAGGCAAGCCCCGGAGCAUAACCUUUAUUUUCAAGUAUUCAAUGUUAUUAUUUAAGUAUUGUGCAUUAAGUUUUUAGGAGUUGAAUGAAACCAUAGUAUGCAUGUUUCUCCCUAAGUACCUAUGAGCCUCUACUAGUAUACAGGCACCGUUAGAAAUGCUUUGCUAAUUAGGGACCUGGUAGAAGUCGAGGGAUUCCUGUCACUCGCGAGAUAUAGGUCUUGUUACUUAUGAAAAAGUUACUGAAGAAGGAAUCAGUGAGAAAAGAAAGGAAAACUGGAGACCGGGCGGAGAUGAAUUGGUUAUGGAUAUGGAAUGGAUGGAAAGUAAGCCUCCGCCUGUGUCGCUUAAGGACCGUUCCGUUGUUGGCCCUUUGACUGAGGAUUGAACAGUACUAACCGCAUGCCGGGAGUAGGAGGUAGUCGAAACCGGUAAGCUCAGUACCAUAUGUGCACCGGUAGGCGGACUUGAUACUGUCUUCACCAGUGGAGCUAGUAUACAAACUCAUGGCUGACCCUUCGUUGGUAUCGGUGGGGCUAGCAGUCCCGGGUCGCAGGGCAGUUCGCCUAUUCGGUGUGCAUAUGUGAAGGGUUGGUGUGUAUAGCCCGACGGGGCAUAUAUGUGCCGUGUUGGUUAGGUCCACCUUGCAAGGUUAAAUCGGAUCGAUUCGCCGUGACUCGCGGAUAUGAGAGCCUUGGUCAAUGCGUCGCAUCGUAGUAAGGAUUGAAUGGACAGAAAGAGAAAAGUUGGACUUUUGUUGAUGUUCUUAAAAAGAUAAUAUGAUUAACCAUGUGUGCUAUAGAGAAUUAGGCAAACCUAGUUUCUAGCUAUCAACACAAUUGGAGCUAAAAUAUUGAAAGUAAGGAUCCAGUGUAAAUAGCUUUUCAGCAAAAUAACCCAGAGCCAAAGAGCUAUGCAUGUCUAGGUAAUGGGCUAAGUAUACCCAUAGUCGGGUAAGCCUUGCUGAGUAUUAGAAUACUCAGGGUUUGGUUGUACCCCUUUUUAGCAGGCUAUAUUCCGGAAGACUUCGAGGAAAUCAGUGCGUCCUGGAGUGGUCAGCCUCUUCCUCCAGGUUGGACAGUCGAGUGGGUUCCGUCUUCUCCGUGAAGUGCAGGCAGGUGAACCUCACAUCAGUGGGCAAGAUGUGAAGUUCGUCUUUUGGGUCAUCGACGUUAUUUAUCGUACUGUAUUUUGAAGCUUAUUUCAAACUAGUGGUACUUUCCGCUGCGUGUGAACUCUGUUUGCGAAAUGUAACCCUGGCUUGUAAAACUUUAUUGUAAAUUAAUUUUUGAAACUUUUGUUUAACUCUGGUUGUAAGUUAAGUUUGAAAACUUUUGUUGCUUGUAA